rnacentral:lncRNA from 1 species
UUUUUUUUUUGAGUAAUCUCGCAAACUUUAUUGAAUCAAAGUAAUGUCCAUAGGUACAAUAGUUGGGUCAUGAGGAUUGCCCAACCAAACAUGCCUACCUAAGGGAAGAUUACAUGCAUACUUUGCGAGAUUGUGUGCCUCAAAAUUGAAGUUCCUACACUCAAAUAAAAACUUGCAAGAAGAAAAACUAGAGCUACGAGCUAAUAUUUCAUGUGUGAUAGCUGCAUUCGGACCAAACGUUCCCUGAUUGAUAUCCUCGACUACACUUUGGCAGUCGGAGGCAAUAACCACGGCCUGAGCUUGAAGAUCUUUUGCAAGUGCUAUCCCUUCUCUGACAGCAAAAGCUUCUAAGAUCGUCGGAUCGACGAUGCCGCCAUAAACCAUCGCAGAGGAACCAAGGUAGUGACCAUGCUGGUCUCGGCAUAAGGCUGCCACUGCUCCACCGCGCAUGUUCCUCGCUAUGGCCCUGUAACGCCCCAAGACCGACGCUCCAGACGCCUUCCAUAUUUUUUCGUUAUCGUUGUGUGUUUUAUUUGUUUGUUGCAUUCAUCAUCGCAUUGCAUCAGCAUAUUUUCAUAAACUUGCAUCCGCUCAUAGUUGCGGCGUCCCCCCUUGCUUUCGUUGACCGUUUCGAGACCAACCUCACUUGCAACGUUGCUCCUCGUUUUCUCUCUUGUCUUCUCCGGGGCCUUUUGUCACACACUUUGUCUUUGUCGACCCCUCUCAGACCACCCCUCGCGCGCGUCCGAAAUUUGUCCCGAACCCGACCCGGGUUGUUGUCACCGUUGGGUCCGGAUCAUCCCCAAACAUCUAUAAAACAUCUCCGUUUUCUUAUUUGGGCUUCCCUAGCCUAUUUUUCUCGACCGCCCGAUCUAAAUCAGAGGGUCCAAUUAGACCUCUACCCAAAAUCCACUUGCUAUAUAAACCGACCUAACCUAAAAUCUCGGACGGCUGUCCCAUCAAUCCCCUCACUCGCCGCCGCCGCGCAUCCCAAAUCCUCCUCGAGAUCCAUCCCCAACCUACCAGCCUCCUCCUUCCCGAUCCAUCCAACCACCACAGCCACGCAGACCUCCCCGUUCCCCUCGUCGCGAGCCAGGGAGACGAGCUCCCUGCCGCCUCCCACCUCGUGCCGUCCCCGUCGUCCACCGGUAGCAACAGCAGCUCUGGCCGCAGCCCCGAGCCUCCCGUGCGCCUCCACCUCCCUGCCGGAGCAGCACCACCAGGCCAGCCCCGCGCCCCUGCUCUUCCUUCUUCUUCCCCUAUCCCGCUCUUCUCUCAGUGCUCUCUCUCUGUCCCGUGUAGGAGGACAGCCAUGGGAGCACCUCGAGGAGCAAAACCGCAGCAGUAGACCGUGGCACCACCACCGGAGCUCGCCGCUGCCGGGAAUCACCUUCUUUCGCCGGAGAUCGCGUCCUUGUCCUGGAUCUGGUCAGUUCUGCCGUCCCACAGCGCGCCCUUCUCCUUCCUUCGGUCUCCUCCUCCACUCACAUCUCAUCCCCUCUCUCAGUUCUCUUUGUAGCGCUGCAGCCUUCUGCCUGUGCGUCGUGCGCGAGAACCGACAAGGCUCCAGCGCCAUGGACUUCCCCCACCUCUGCCCGAGCGCCUCCAGGACCUCGUCUGCCCCCGCCGCGUCGCCGAAUCCGGCCACCAGCACCCUCUAGCGCCGUCGUUUCCUUCCUCCUACUGCUCGAUCCCUGCUUCAGGAACGAGACGAUGAGCGCCCAGCAAUCGCGUUGACCGCAUCGGUCAGAUCCGGUGGCCCGCGCUGCUUCCCCGUCGGCCCAGUGCGCCUCCUCUCCAAGGCCCAGCCGUGGCUUCCUCUCUGGCCCAGCUUCAGUUUCGGCCUGCUAGGCCCGAUGUGAGCAGCUCCCCCAGCCCUUCAGUUUCGGCCCGCAUCUAUUUUUUUUCGUGCGCUGCGAUUUUAGUAUUAUUCGAGAGAAAACUUGUUUUACAGAUUAGUCCCUAGACUUCAUGCAUUUAAUAACUCCACAACCGUGCAUCAGAUUAAAAUGUUUAAAAUAUGUAAAAUGAUUAGAAUUGCAUCUAGUUUCACAAUAUGCUGCUUCCAUCCAUGUUUAAAAUGUUUAAACUUGCUGUUUAUUUAAUUUUGCAUAAAUAGCAUGUUAAAAUGAAUUAUUUCAUAUCUUAAUAACCGUAGCUCCGAAUUUAAUAAACUUUAUAUGUAAAUGGAGUAGAAAAAUGCCUAGUUUAACAUGGUGUACUUUAUUUUGCUGUUUAACGACAUUAAAAUUGUGUUUAGGGCAGAACAGUAGUAAAUUCAAAAUAUGCAUGUGGGGAUUUUCCGGAAUUGUUGUUUAUUGUUUCCGGCCUCAUUUAACUUGCUUAAAUAGUUAGUUUACUUAUGCUUCACCCCUUGCCAUGUUUAAUAACAUUUAAUAUUGUUGUGUAUCUUAACGAGAGAGAACUAAAUAAUUGAUGUGGUGUUUUGUCAAUAUGCAACUCGUUGCAUAUUGAGCUCCACUUAAUUUGUAGUAUUGUUUGUGCACUUUGCCAUGCCAUGCCUCAUUAAACCGGACAUGCAUCAUACUUGAUUGUGCAUCAUGCCAUGUUUAUGUGAUGGUUGUUUACUAUGUUGUUUGCUUCUUUCCGGUUUGCUUCUCUCGUUAGCUUCGGUUUCGUUCCGGAGUUGUGAGGAUCGUUCGACUACGUCCGUUUGUCUUCUUCAUGGACUCGUUCUUCUUCCUAGCAAGAUCUCAGGCAAGAUGACCAUACCCUCGAAAUCACUUCUAUCUUUGCUUGCUAGUUGUCCGUUCUAUUGCUAUGCCGCGUUACCUACCACUUGCUUAUGAAGCCUCCCAAAUUGCCAUGAACCUCUAACCUUUGUCAUCCUUCCUAGCAAACCGUUGUUUGGCUAUGUUACCGCUUUUGCUCAUCCCCUCUUAUAGCGUUGCUAGUUGCAGGUGAAGAUGAAGUUUGUUCCAUGUUGGAACAUGGAUAUGUUGGGAUAUCACAAUAUCUCUUAUUUAAUUAAUGCAUCUAUAUACUUGGUAAAGGGUGGAAGGCUCGGCCUUAUGCCUGGUGUUUUGUUCCACUCUUGCCACCCUAGCUUCCGUCAUACCGGUGUUAUGUUCCUUGAUUUUGCGUCCCUUACGCGGUUGGGUGAUUUAUGGGACCCCCUUGACAGUUCGCUUUGAAUAAAACUCCUCCAGCAAGGCCCAACCUUGGUUUUACCAUUUGCCUAUCACCUAUUUAUUUUCCCUAGGGAGUCGCUCUCCCGAGGGUCAUCUUUAUUUAACCCCCCCGGGCCAGUGCUUCUCUAAGUGUUGGUCUGAACCGAGCAACCUGCGGGGCCACCUCGGGGAAACUUGAGGGCUGGUUUUACUCGUAGCUUGACUUAUCCGGUGUUGCCCUGAGAACGAGAUAUGUGCAGCUCCUAUCGGGAUGUCGGCGCACCGGGCGGCUUUGGUGGUCUUGUUUUACCAUUGUCGAAAUGUCUUGUAACCGGGAUUCCGAGACUGAUCGGGUCUUCCCGGGAGAAGGAAUAUCCUUCGUUGACCGUGAGAGAUUAUAAUGGGCUAAGUUGGGACACCCCUGCAGGGUAUAAACUUUCGAGAGCCGUGCCCGCGGUUAUGUGGCAGAUGGGAAUUUGUUAAUGUCCGGUUGUAGAGAACUUGACACUUGACUUAAUUAAAACGCAUCAACCGCGUGUGUAGCCGUGAUGGUCUCUUUUCGGCGGAGUUUGGGAAGAGAACACGGCUUUUGGGUUAUGUUUGACGUAAGUAGGAGUUCAGGAUCACUUCUUGAUCAUUACUAGUUGACGACCGUUCCGUUGCUCCUCUUCUCGCUCUUAUUUGCGUAUGUUAGCCACCAUAUAUGCUUAGUGCUUGCUGCAGCUCCACCUCAUUACCCCUUUCCUACCCAUAAGCUUACAUAGUCUUGAUCUCGCGGGUGUGAGAUUGCUGAGUCCUCGUGACUCACAGAUACUUCCAAAACAGUUGCAGGUGCCGACGAUACCAGUACAGGUGACGUAACCGAGCUCAAGUGGGAGUUCGACGAGGACCUUGGUCGUUACUAUGUUUCGUUUCCUGAUGAUCAGUAGUGGAGCCCAGUUGGGACGAUCGGGGAUCUAGCAUUUGGGGUUGUCUUCUUUUCUUUUGGUUCCGUAGCCGGACCUAUGUGUGUACUCUGAUUGAUGUAUGAUUUAUUUAUGUAUUGUGUGAAGUGGCGAUUGUAAGCCAACUCUUUAUCCCAUUCUUGUUCAUUACAUGGGAUUGUCUGAAGAUGACCCUUCUUGCAACAAAACCAUAAUGCGGUUAUGCCUCUAAGUCGUGCCUCGACACUUGGGAGAUAUAGCUGCAUCAUGGGCGUUACAAGUUGGUAAUCAGAGCCAUCCCCGACUUAGGAUCCCCCUGCUUGAUCGAAUCGCUGGCGUUGUUGAGUCUAGAACAAAAAUGUUUUGAGUCUUAGGAUUAUAUAUAUCGGAGAGUAGGAUUCUUUUUACUCCUCGAUCCCUUCGUCGCUCUGGUGAGGCCUCCUGACGUGGAUGUUUUGACUCUCCUCUCCCCAAAUUUCACUAAAAAAAAUUUAGGAUCACGCGGGUAUCUUGGAAGCGUUCCGAUGGUUUUGUGACGAGAACAUUGUUCUUGGUGCCUCCUGACAUUUAGGGGUUGUGGCAGUGUCCCGGGGAGUUGAGCUCCGAGGUGUUGUCGUCACAAUUUUAUCGUUGCAGUUCUGGAAUACGUGAGUUUCGCCGACAUCAAAAAUCUCUUUUAUGCAGUUGUUGGUGAUAUCACCUCGACGCCACCCAGUACUGGGGCGGGAGUUCGGGAGUAUUGCCAUAACUCGUAUAACAGAUGCUUUUCGAAGGUUGAGGUAAACGAUUUCCGAAGGUUUCUUGGUUAUGUGUUGACGGAUGGAUACAGCUGGAUCUAGGGAUUGUUAGUUUGGGUGAUAUAUUUUGUGUCCCCUGUAUCCCCAACACCAGAUUGCAUAACCAGAAAGUUUCGGGAGUUUAUAAGUGGGAAUUCAAGUAUCUCGUAGGAUAUCUUUCCAACACACACAUGAUACGAUAUGGGAUCUAUCAUAUGUUUGUUUCCGGCUUAUUCUGCAAGCCAAUCCUUUGUUUUGUUUUGUUUCGUUUUGUGGUAUUCGAGUUGCUUCAAUGCCAAGUGUUGAUUCCAUACUUUAUUCUAAGUGGUGUUCUCAUAUUUCUAUGUGGAUGCUAAUCCUUCUUGUUCAUCAAGGUUGUUUAUUCAAUUCUUUCCAACUGGCGUGCUUCUCUUCAAGUUAAUCAUAUCCUUUCAAUAUUCGCAAGAUCAAUUCUAAGUUUUCUCAAUGGUGUUUAUUCCAUCUGCCCCAAGUUGCGUUUGUUUUCCCGCCCUCCCACCCUUUUCUUCAAGGACUCAGAUUUCUUAAUCAAGUAUCCUUUUUAUUGAUGCGAAGUCUCUUCAUUCUUUUCUUUCAAUGUUCUUAUCCGGUGAUUUCCCAUGAAGAUACUGUUGGAAAUAUGCCCUAGAGGCAAUAAUAAAUGGUUAUUAUUAUAUUUCUUUAUUCAUGAUAAUUGUCUAUUAUUCAUGCUAUAAUUGUAUUGUCCGGAAAUCGUAAUACAUGUGUGAAUACAUAGACCACAACGUGUCCCUAGUAAGCCUCUAGUUGACUAGCUCGUUGAUCAACAGAUAGUCAUGGUUUCCUGACUAUGGACAUUGGAUGUCAUUGAUAACGGGAUCACAUCAUUAGGAGAAUGAUGUGAUGGACAAGACCCAAUCCUAAGCAUAGCAUAAAAGAUCGUGUAAUUUCGUUUGCUAGAGCUUUUCCAAUGUCAAGUAUCUUUUCCUUAGACCAUGAGAUCGUGCAACUCCCGGAUACCGUAGGAGUGCUUUGGGUGUGCCAAACAUCACAACGUAACUGGGUGACUAUAAAGGUGCAUUACGGGUAUCUCCGAAAGUGUCUGUUGGGUUGGCACGGAUCGAGACUGGGAUUUGUCACUCCGUGUGACGGAGAGGUAUCUUUGGGCCCACUCGGUAAUGCAUCAUCAUAUUGAGCUCUAUGUGACUAAGGCGUUAGUCACGGGAUCAUGCAUUGCGGUCGAGUAAAGAGACUUGCCGGUAACGAGAUUGAACAAGGUAUUGGGAUACCGACGAUCGAAUCUCGGGCAAGUAACAUACCGUUUGACAAAGGGAAUUGCAUACGGAUUGAUUGAAUCCUCGACACCGUGGUUCAUCUGAUGAGAUCAUCGUGGAACAUGUGGGAGCCAACAUGGGUAUCCAGAUCCCGCUGUUGGUUAUUGACCGGAGAGGCGUCUCGGUCAUGUCUGCAUGUCUCCCGAACCCGUAGGGUCUACACACUUAAGGUCCGGUGACGCUAGGGUUGUAGAGAUAUAUGUAUGCGGAAACCCGAAAGUUGUUCGGAGUCCCGGAUGAGAUCCCGGACGUCACGAGAGGUUCCGGAAUGGUCCGGAGGUGAAGAAUUAUAUAUAGGAAGUCCAGUUUCGGCCACCGGGAAAGUUUCGGGGGUUAUCGGUAUUGUACCGAGACCACCGGAAGGUCCCGGGGGUCCACCGGGUGGGGCCACCUAUCCCGGAGGGCCCCGUGGGCUGAAAGUGGAAGGGAACUAGCCCUUAGUGGGCUGGGGCGCCCCCCUUGGGCCUCCCCCCAUGCGCCUAGGGUUGGGAACCCUAGGGGGGAGUUCCCCCUUGCCUUGGGGGGCAAGGCAACCCCUUCCCCCCCUUGUGGCCGCCGCCCCCCUUGAGAUCCCAUCUCUUGGGGCUGGCGCACCCCCCCAGGGGCCUAUAUAAAGGGGGGAGGGAGGGCAGCAACCUACAGCCUUGGGCGCCUCCCCCCUCCCCUGCAACACCUCUCUCUCUCUCGCAGAAGCUCGGCGAAGCCCUGCCGGAGACCCGCUACAUCCACCACCACGCCGUCGUGCUGCUGGAUCUCCAUCAACCUCUCCUUCCCCCUUGCUGGAUCAAGAAGGAGGAGACGUCGCUGCACCAUACGUGUGUUGAACGCGGAGGUGCCGUCCGUUCGACACUCGGUCAUCGGUGAUUUGGAUCACGGCGAGUACGACUCCAUCAUCCACGUUCAUUGGAACGCUUCCGCUCGCGAUCUACAAGGGUAUGUAGAUGCACUCCUUUCCCCUCGUUGCUAGUAGACUCCAUAGAUGCAUCUUGUUGAGCGUAGGAAAAUUUUAAAUUAUGCUACGAUUCCCAACAGUGGCAUCAUGAGCCAGGUCUAUGCGUAGUUACUAUGCACGAGUAGACCACAAAGCAGUUGUGGGCGUUGAGUUUGCCAAUUCUUCUUGCCGCUACUAGUCGUUUCUUGUUUCGGCGGCAUUGUAGGAUGAAGCGGCCCGGACCGACCUUACACGUACGCUUACGUGAGACUGGUUCCACCGACUGACAUGCACUAGUUGCAUAAGGUGGCUAGCGGGUGUCUGUCUCUCCUACUUUAGUCGGAACGGAUUCGAUGAAAAGGGUCCUUAUGAAGGGUAAAUAGAAAUUGGCAAAUCAUGUUGUGGUCAUACGUAGGUAAGAAACGUUCUUGCUAGAAACCUACAAACCACGUAAAAAUUUGCAACAACAAUUAGAGGACGUCUAACUUGUUUUUGCAGCAAGUGCUAUGUGAUGUGAUAUGGCCAGAAGAUGUGAUGAAUGAUAUAUGUGAUGUAUGAGAUUGAUCAUAUUCUUGUAAUAGGAAUCACGACUUGCAUGUCGAUGAGUAUGACAACCGGCAGGAGCCAUAGGAGUUGUCUUUAUUAUUUUAUAUGACCUGCGUGUCAUUGAAUAACGCCAUGUAAAUUACUUUACUUUGUUGCUAAACGUGUUAGCCAUAGAAGUAGAAGUAAUCGUUGGCGUGACAACUUCAUGAAGACACAAUGAUGAAGAUCAUGGUGUCAUGCCGGUGACAAAGAUGAUCAUGGUGCCCCGAAGAUGGAGAUCAAAGGAGCAUAAUGAUAUUGGCCAUAUCAUGUCACUAUUUGAUUGCAUGUGAUGUUUAUCAUGUUUUUGCAUCUUAUUUGCUUAGAACGACGGUAGUAAGUAAGAUGAUCCCUUAUAAUAAUUUCAAGAAAGUGUUCACCCUAACUGUGCACCGUUGCGAAGGUUCGUUGUUUCGAAGCACCACGUGAUGAUCGGGUGUGAUAGAUUCUAACGUUCGAAUACAACGGGUGUUGACGAGCCUAGCAUGUACAGACAUGGCCUCGGAACACACGCAAUACACUUAGGUUGACUUGACGAGCCUAGCAUGUACAGACAUGGCCUCGGAACACACGCAAUACACUUAGGUUGACUUGACGAGCCUAGCAUGUACAGACAUGGCCUCGGAACACGGAGGACCGAAAGGUCGAGCAUGAGUCGUAUAGAAGAUACGAUCAACAUGGAGAUGUUUACCGAUCUUGACUAGUCCGUCUCACGUGAUGACCGGACACGGCCUAGUUGAAUUCGGAUCAUGUUUCACUUAGAUGACUAGAGGGAUGUCUAUCUGAGUGGGAGUUCAUUAAAUAAUUUGAUUAUAUGAACUUAAUUAUCAUGAACUUAGUCUAAAAUCUUUACACUAUGUAUUGUAGAUCAAAUGGCCCACGUUGUCCUCAAUUUCAACGCGUUCCUAGAGAAAACCAAGCUGAAAGAUGAUGGCAGCAACUAUACGGACUGGGUCCGGAACCUGAGGAUCAUCCUCAUAGCAGCCAAGAAAGAUUAUGUCUUAGAAGCACCGCUAGGUGAAGCACCAAUCCCUGAGAACCAAGACGUUAUGAACGCUUGGCAGCAGCGUGCUGAUGAUUACUCCCUCGUUCAGUGCGGCAUGCUUUACAGCUUAGAACCGGGUCUCCAAAAGCGUUUUGAGAAACAUGGAGCAUAUGAGAUGUUCGAGGAGCUGAAACUGGUUUUUCAAGCUCAUGCCUGGGUCGAGAGAUAUGAUGUCUCCGACAAGUUCUUCAGCUGUAAAAUGGAGGAGAACAGUUCUGUUAGUGAGCACAUACUCAGAAUGUCUGGGUUGCACAAUCGCUUGUCUCAGCUGGGAGUUAAUCUCCCGGAUGACGCGGUCAUUGACAGAAUCCUCCAGUCGCUUCCACCAAGCUACAAGAGCUUUGUGAUGAACUACAAUAUGCAGGGGAUGGAAAAGACCAUUCCCGAGGUAUAUUCAAUGCUGAAAUCAGCUGAGGUAGAGAUCAGAAAAGAACAUCAAGUGUUGAUGGUGAAUAAAACCACUAAGUUCAAGAAGGGCAAGGGUAAGAAGAACUUCAAGAAGGACGGCAAGGGAGUUGCCGCGCCCGGUAAGCCAGUUACCGGGAAGAAGUCAAAGAAUGGACCCAAGCCUGAAACUGAGUGCUUUUAUUGUAAGGGAAGUGGUCACUGGAAGCGGAACUGCCCCAAAUAUUUAGCGGACAAGAAGAAGGCCGGCAACACCCAAGGUAUAUGUGAUAUACAAGUAAUUGAUGUGUACCUUACCAGUACUCGUAGUAGCUCCUGGGUAUUUGAUACCGGUGCGGUUGCUCAUAUUUGUAACUCAAAGCAGGAACUACGGAAUAAACGGAGACUGGCAAAGGACGAGGUGACAAUGCGCGUCGGGAAUGGUUCCAAGGUCGAUGUGAUCGCCGUCGGCACGCUACCUCUGCAUCUACCCACGGGAUUAGUUUUAAACCUCAAUAAUUGUUAUUUAGUGCCAGCUUUGAGCAUGAACAUUGUGUCUGGAUCUCAUUUAAUUCGAGAUGGCUACUCAUUUAAAUCCGAGAAUAAUGGUUGUUCUAUUUAUUUGAGAGUUAUGUUUUAUGGUCAUGCCCCGCUGGUCAAUGGUUUAUUUUUGAUGAAUCUCGAACGUGAUGUUACACAUGUUCAUAGUGUGAAUACCAAAAGAUGUAAAGUUGAUAACGAUAGUCCCACAUACUUGUGGCACUGCCGCCUUGGUCACAUUGGUGUCAAGCGCAUGAAGAAGCUCCAUGCAGAUGGACUUUUGGAGUCUCUUGAUUACGAAUCAUUUGACACGUGCGAACCAUGCCUCAUGGGUAAGAUGACCAAGACUCCGUUCUCCGGAACAAUGGAGCGAGCAACCAACUUAUUGGAAAUCAUACAUACCGAUGUGUGUGGUCCAAUGAGUGUUGAGGCUCGCGGAGGAUAUCGUUAUGUUCUCACUCUCACUGAUGAUUUAAGUAGAUAUGGAUAUGUCUACCUGAUGAAACACAAGUCUGAAACCUUUGAAAAGUUCAAAGAAUUUCAGAGUGAGGUUGAGAAUCAACGUGACAGGAGAAUAAAAUUCCUACGAUCAGAUCGUGGUGGAGAAUAUUUAAGUCACGAGUUUGGUGCACACUUAAGGAAAUGUGGAAUAGUUUCACAACUCACGCCGCCUGGAACACCUCAGCGAAACGGUGUGUCCGAACGUCGUAAUCGCACUCUAUUGGAUAUGGUGCGAUCUAUGAUGUCUCUUACCGAUUUACCGCUCUCAUUUUGGGGCUAUGCUUUAGAGACUGCCGCAUUCACUUUAAAUAGGGCUCCGUCGAAAUCCGUUGAGACGACACCAUAUGAAUUAUGGUUUGGGAAGAAACCUAAGCUGUCGUUUCUAAAAGUUUGGGGAUGCGAUGCUUAUGUCAAGAAACUUCAACCUGAAAAGCUCGAACCCAAAUCGGAAAAAUGCGUCUUCAUAGGAUACCCUAAGGAAACUAUUGGGUAUACCUUCUACCUCAGAUCCGAAGGCAAGAUCUUCGUUGCCAAGAACGGGUCCUUUCUGGAGAAGGAGUUUCUCUCGAAAGAAUUGAGUGGGAGGAAAGUGGAACUUGAUGAGGUGAUAGUCACCCCUUCCGAACCGGAAAGUAGCGCAGCGCGGGAAAGUGUUCCUGUGGUGCCUACACCGACUGGAGAGGAAGUUAAUGAUGAUGAUCAUGAAGCUUCGGAUCAAGUUGCCACUGAACUUCGUAGGUCCACAAGGACACGUUCCGCACCAGAGUGGUACGGCAACCCUGUCCUGGAAAUCAUGUUGUUAGACAACGGUGAACCUUCGAACUAUGAAGAAGCGAUGGCGGGCCCGGAUUCCGACAAAUGGCUAGAAGCCAUGAAAUCCGAGAUAGAAUCCAUGUAUGAAAACAAAGUAUGGACUUUGACUGACUUGCCCGAUGAGCGGCGAGCCAUAGAAAACAAAUGGAUCUUUAAGAAGAAGAUGGACGCGGAUGGUAAUGUGACCAUCUACAAAGCUCGACUUGUCGCUAAGGGUUAUCGACAAGUUCAAGGGGUUGACUACGAUGAGACUUUCUCACCCGUAGCGAAGCUGAAGUCCGUCCGAAUCAUGUUAGCAAUUGCCGCAUACUAUGAUUAUGAGAUAUGGCAGAUGGACGUCAAAAUGGCAUUCCUUAACGGCUUCCUUAAGGAAGAGUUGUAUAUGAUGCAGCCGGAAGGUUUUGUCGAUCCUAAGAAUGCUAACAAAGUGUGCAAGCUCCAGCGCUCAAUCUAUGGGCUGGUGCAAGCAUCUCGGAGUUGGAACAUUCGCUUUGAUGAGAUGAUCAAAGCGUUUGGGUUUACACAGACUUAUGGAGAAGCCUGUGUUUACAAGAAAGUGAGUGGGAGCUCUGUAGCAUUUCUCAUAUUAUAUGUGGAUGACAUACUAUUGAUGGGAAAUGAUAUAGAAUUCUUGGAAAGUAUUAAGGCCUAUUUGAAUAAGUGUUUUUCAAUGAAGGACCUUGGAGAAGCUGCUUAUAUAUUAGGCAUCAAGAUCUAUAGAGAUAGAUCAAGACGCCUCAUUGGUCUUUCACAGAGUACAUACCUUGACAAGAUAUUGAAGAAGUUCAGUAUGGAUCAGUCCAAGAAGGGGUUCUUGCCUGUAUUGCAAGGUGUGAAAUUGAGCACGGCUCAAUGCCCGACCACGGCAGAAGAUAUAGAAGAGAUGAGUGUCAUCCCCUAUGCCUCGGCCAUAGGGUCUAUUAUGUAUGCCAUGCUGUGUACCAGACCUAAUGUAAACCUUGCCGUAAGUUUGGUAGGAAGGUACCAAAGUAAUCCCGGCAAGGAACACUGGACAGCGGUCAAGAAUAUCCUGAAGUACCUGAAAAGGACUAAGGAUAUGUUUCUCGUUUAUGGAGGUGACGAAGAGCUCAUCGUAAAGGGUUACGUCGACGCUAGCUCCGACACAGAUCUGGAUGACUCGAAGUCACAGACCGGAUACGUGUAUAUUUUGAAUGGAGGAGCAGUAAGCUGGUGCAGUUGCAAGCAAAGCGUCGUGGCGGGAUCUACAUGUGAAGCGGAGUACAUGGCAGCCUCGGAGGCAGCACAGGAAGCAGUCUGGAUGAAGGAGUUCAUUACCGACCUAGGGGUGAUUCCCAAUGCGUCGGGCCCAAUGACUCUCUUAUGUGACAACACUGGAGCUAUUGCCCUUGCGAAGGAGCCUAGGUUUCACAGGAAGACCACGCAUAUCAAGCGUCGCUUCAACUCCAUUCGUGAAAGUGUUCAAAAUGGAGACAUAGAUAUUUGUAAAGUACAUACGGACCUGAAUGUAGCAGAUCCGUUGACUAAACCUCUCCCUAGGGCAAAACAUGAUCAACACCAGGACGCAAUGGGUGUUCGAUUCAUCACAAUGUAACUAGAUUAUUGACUCUAGUGCAAGUGGGAGACUGUUGGAAAUAUGCCCUAGAGGCAAUAAUAAAUGGUUAUUAUUAUAUUUCUUUGUUCAUGAUAAUUGUCUAUUAUUCAUGCUAUAAUUGUAUUGUCAGGAAAUCGUAAUACAUGUGUGAAUACAUAGACCACAACGUGUCCCUAGUAAGCCUCUAGUUGACUAGCUCGUUGAUCAAUAGAUAGUCAUGGUUUCCUGACUAUGGACAUUGGAUGUCAUUGAUAACGGGAUCACAUCAUUAGGAGAAUGAUGUGAUGGACAAGACCCAAUCCUAAGCAUAGCAUAAAAGAUCGUGUAAUUUCGUUUGCUAGAGCUUUUCCAAUGUCAAGUAUCUUUUCCUUAGACCAUGAGAUCGUGCAACUCCCGGAUACCGUAGGAGUGCUUUGGGUGUGCCAAACGUCACAACGUAACUGGGUGACUAUAAAGGUGCAUUACGGGUAUCUCCGAAAGUGUCUGUUGGGUUGGCACGGAUCGAGACUAGGAUUUGUCACUCCGUGUGACGGAGAGGUAUCUCUGGGCCCACUCGGUAAUGCAUCAUCAUAUUGAGCUCUAUGUGACUAAGGCGUUAGUCACGGGAUCAUGCAUUGCGGUACGAGUAAAGAGACUUGCCGGUAACGAGAUUGAACAAGGUAUUGGGAUACCGACGAUCGAAUCUCGGGCAAGUAACAUACCGAUUGACAAAGGGAAUUGCAUACGGAUUGAUUGAAUCCUCGACACCGUGGUUCAUCCGAUGAGAUCAUCGUGGAACAUGUGGGAGCCAACAUGGGUAUCCAGAUCCCGCUGUUGGUUAUUGACCGGAGAGGCGUCUCGGUCAUGUCUGCAUGUCUCCCGAACCCGUAGGGUCUACACACUUAAGGUCCGGUGACGCUAGGGUUGUAGAGAUAUAUGUAUGCGGAAACCCGAAAGUUGUUCGGAGUCCCGGAUGAGAUCCCGGACGUCACGAGAGGUUCCGGAAUGGUCCGGAGGUGAAGAAUUAUAUAUAGGAAGUCCAGUUUCGGCCACCGGGAAAGUUUCAGGGGUUAUCGGUAUUGUACCGGGACCACCGGAAGGGUCCCGGGGGUCCACCGGGUGGGGCCACCUAUCCCGGAGGGUCCCGUGGGCUGAAAGUGGAAGGGAACCAGCCCUUAGUGGGCUGGGGCGCCCCCCUUGGGCCUCCCCCCAUGCGCCUAGGGUUGGGAACCCUAGGGGGAGUUCNNNNNNNNNNNNNNNNNNNNNNNNNNNNNNNNNNNNNNNNNNNNNNNNNNNNNNNNNNNNNNNNNNNNNNNNNNNNNNNNNNNNNNNNNNNNNNNNNNNNNNNNNNNNNNNNNNNNNNNNNNNNNNNNNNNNNNNNNNNNNNNNNNNNNNNNNNNNNNNNNNNNNNNNNNNNNNNNNNNNNNNNNNNNNNNNNNNNNNNNNNNNNNNNNNNNNNNNNNNNNNNNNNNNNNNNNNNNNNNNNNNNNNNNNNNNNNNNNNNNNNNNNNNNNNNNNNNNNNNNNNNNNNNNNNNNNNNNNNNNNNNNNNNNNNNNNNNNNNNNNNNNNNNNNNNNNNNNNNNNNNNNNNNNNNNNNNNNNNNNNNNNNNNNNNNNNNNNNNNNNNNNNNNNNNNNNNNNNNNNNNNNNNNNNNNNNNNNNNNNNNNNNNNNNNNNNNNNNNNNNNNNNNNNNNNNNNNNNNNNNNNNNNNNNNNNNNNNNNNNNNNNNNNNNNNNNNNNNNNNNNNNNNNNNNNNNNNNNNNNNNNNNNNNNNNNNNNNNNNNNNNNNNNNNNNNNNNNNNNNNNNNUACACCUCUCCGUCUCGCAGAAGCUCGGCGAAGCCCUGCCGAGACCCGCUACAUCCACCACCACGCCGUCGUGCUGCUGGAUCUCCAUCAACCUCUCCUUCCCCCUUGCUGGAUCAAGAAGGAGGAGACGUCGCUGCACCGUACGUGUGUUGAACGCGGAGGUGCUGUCCGUUCGGCACUCGGUCAUCGGUGAUUUGGAUCACGGCGAGUACGACUCCGUCAUCCACGUUCAUUGGAACGCUUCCGCUCGCGAUCUACAAGGGUAUGUAGAUGCACUCCUUUCCCCUCGUUGCUAGUAGACUCCAUAGAUGCAUCUUGGUGAGCGUAGGAAAAUUUUAAAUUAUGCUACGAUUCCCAACAGAUACUAACGGAGCUUCAAGUUUAUUAUUCUUCGUUCUUUUUCUUCUCCGGUGGACUCAAGUCAAGCUUUCAUUGUUGAUCGUAUUCUUUUCCUCGUUUCAAAUGCUUUCUCAUGUCAGUGCAUCUCUUAAUCAUCCACCUCUUGCUAUUCAUGUUAUCUGGAGUGCUAAAGAUAACUCAGAAGAUUCGCAUUUCCAUUCCCAAUCCGUUCAAGCUAUCUCGAGGUUGUUAUCUCUUUUGAGCCAUUUAAUUCAACCGACGCAAUCUUUCUUUUAAUCAUUCAACGGUGUAUCUUUUGAGUGGGCCCAUAACCCACAGUUUUUUCCCAGGAUCUUACCUAACUCUUCUAAUUCUUUCCGGAGUUAUUCUCAAAUUCAUUGCAAAGUUUGACGUAAGAAUGAAUUAUCAUCAGUCAAAUGUCUUUCUCCAAGAUCUUUCAAACUCUUUUCAUUGUUGGUUCAAUCUUUCUAAUUUUCAUCCCGGAGUAUCUCAACAAUUCAUGGUGGUGUUUCUCAUCGUCAUUCUCAACAUUUGAAGACCGAAGAAGAGUUUCUCUUAAAUCUUGCUCCAUUCUCUUCAAGAUUCAUGGUUAUAGCUUGAUGCCAUCCUCUCAUAAUUGUUUUUCGAUUGUGAGAAUUCUUUUCACCCACCCGGAGCAUUUCAGAAGUCUUUUCAGUUUGAUUCUCCGGAGCCCAUCAUCUCAGAAUUAUUUAUUCUCAGCUUUCAGCUCCCGUUCUCCAAAUCUUACCGGUGAAUCGUUCAAGUAUCCUCUAGUCAGCUCUUGAUCUCUUCGUUCUCAUGUAUCUAAAUACCCUCAAGUAUCUUCAUUCGUUUUCCAAUUCUUCCCGGUGAAUUGUGCCUUUGCUACUUUCAUUCUCAAUUCUUACGCUGGUUCAUUCAAGAAUUCUCUUCCGUUGUUAUCGUAUCAAUUCAUUCGUUCUUUCCAAAUCUGUGACACCCCAAAAUUUUGACCUUGUUUUAUUAAUUAAAAUUUUGCCAGGAAAUAAAACUUUUCCAUUUGUCUAGAUUUACCCUUUUGAUAUUAUGGGUUUUUACCUCAAGUGAAAAACUUUCCAAAGGUAUUAUUGGACUUAUAUACUCCCUCUAGGAAACAAUUCUUAUUCAGUGGAUUUAAUUGCAAGAUUUGCCUUUCCCUGAGCUUUAUUCUUUUAAAAUGAUCUUUCACAAGUUUUGGAGCCUGUUUUGCACUGCAACCAUUUGAUAAAUACUUUUAAAAAUUUCACCAAAAUUUGGGGAUGUCAUGUGAGGUUUCCACAUCACUUUUAUGCAAAAAUAUUUGUUGGUUAUUGGAGAUUUUGAGCUCUACAUCAACUUUUCAUAUCUGGUCCAGUAGGCAUUUUUGCACUACUACCUAUUUAAAUAUUUCUUUAAAAAUUCUUCCAAGUGUUUGGAGAUGUGAGUAGAUGCAUACAAUUCAACUUCAUGCAAAAAAACCAGUGUUGUUCUUUGAAAAAUUUGAGUGAACCAACCUCUUUUUCAUUCUGGUCCAGUUUGGUGAUUUGUACUGCAACCCUAUUUUAUUUUGCUCUAGUGCCCAUGAGCUUUUCCCUGCUUGUAGCCCUCCCUACAAAACCCUUAAGUCCAGGAGAGUGGACCCAUUGGAGGAUUUUAAGUGCAUGCAAUGAGACCUUUUUCUUUCUGUCCAAAACUGUAGUUUUGCAAAACUUGCACUAGCAAGUUUCUGGUUUUGCCCAUAUGACCUUGCCAUCAUCACCUACAUCUAGAGAGACCCUGAUCUGGAGAUUUUGGCCACUCCAAGAGUUGCCUAAAUGCACUUGGCAUUCUGUCGAACACUUGGUGUGCACAGUCAGUUUUGGGCAUGUUUCCUAGUUUGCACUAUGAUCUUGUUCCACUGACCCAGCAACCUUGUCCACUAAGCUGCUAGCUAUCCCUAUCCUAGUCCUGUUAAUUGCCAGCCUCACUCCUGCACUCUAGGCUGCCCUGGCAUUUCGUCGAGCAUGUCCCGUGCGUGCUCUGGGCGCGCCCAGAGCGCACGUUUUGCACGCGUGCGCACCGAGUCGCCGCGUCGCACUGCCGCCCUCGCCGCGUCCCGCCCUUGGCCUUUGCUCGCCUGCAGAGCCGUGCACUACCCUCGCCCACUCUCCACGCCACCUCUGGCGCCCUACAGCGCCGCCGUCGGAGCUUUUGGCGGCACGCCGGCGUCGGCAGCGAGCUCCUGCCAUGGACGGCGCCGCCCAAGCCACCCGCGCGCGCCAGCUGCCCCUGUGAACAGCUCGAGCUUAUCCUGGAGCCCGUCGGCGCGCGCUCGUUGCCGCCACGUCGCCCUGCAGCUACAGCACCGCGGUCGCCGGCGUUCUUAUCCACGGCCGCCGCGGAACCAGCCUCAAACGUCUAUAAAAGGAGGCCCCGAGCCCCUCCGAGCGCUCAGGCGACCUCAAGCCUUCCCCCUAGAGCUCCCCAAGCAGUGGAUUGGCCGGAAGAGUCCAUCUCCCCCAACCCCGGCCGAUUCGGCCGCCGCUGCCUUCCGGUGCCAUUCGUCGCAACCAGGCACUCCCUCGCCCAUCCAGCGCCACCACUCACUUCCCCUUGCUCUUGCGGAGCUGCCCAGCGCCUCAGCCUCGAUCGGAAACCACCAGAGCCCAAAACCCACUUCACUCCCGUAGCCCCCUCCGCCGCGGAGCUCGCCGCCGGCGACUCCUCCCACCACCAUCGACCCAACGACCACCGAGAGGACCGCCCCGGUCUGGCGGGUCCAUCCCUGCCCUCAGGUGCCCUCGAGGAGCCACCGUUCGUCGACGGCGAUCGCCGGAGACCCGCUCCCGUUCGGGCAGAGGAGAGGAGGGAGGGGGAAUAGUCAAACCUGACCAGUGGGCCCCCUGGACCCACUGUCAGUGACCCCCGCGCCAUCCACGCUGGCUUAAGUGGUCGCGUAAAACCCCGGAGUACGUCUCCUAUGCUGCGAAAGCGUAUUCUCCCCCGAAACGUUUUCCUUUUCUGGUUUUUAUUAAAAACAGAGAUUUGACCAAACUUUGACUGGCUAUAUCUUUUAAAAUAAAACUCCAAAUGAGUUGAUUCUUUUUCUUACCUUUCCCAAAUUUCAUCUAGUUUAUUUUAAGAUUUAUUCCAAAAAUAUUUGAGACAACUUUUUGUACUGUGUUUGAAAUAUUUGUUACUUGAAUAUUUUUCAAAAUAGGAAAUGGAGAGUGAAGAAAACUUUCAAAAAGUGCACCCCUUGCACACUCUUGAAGGCAAGCAUUCUGAACUCUGGCAUAAUAUCUUUGUGUGGUGUUUUGAUACGGUUACAACACCACUUGACUUGGAGCAUACGUUAUUUUUUUCGUGCCGAUAAAAAUCAUUCGCAUGAAUGCACAAUGGAGAUUCUUUGCUGGUAGUAAUGGUCAUGCUGAUGAUAGUGGUCAUCCUCGUGAGCUUUUCAUGCAUACCGGAAGGAAGCCGGGAAGGUCGCUGUCUUGGGUAGACACGAGUUGUCCCUAGUUCCUCGUCGAGACGAGUGUGUCCGGUAUGGCAUGGUGAGGUUUGAUGGGUGGUGACUUUAUCUGUUAAUGGGAAUAUAUUUGUCUUAUGGAGAUUGCUUGGACCUCCUGAGUCGGCCGUAAGUCGAGUCUUGUUCAGUGACUUCCCCUUCUUGUUUUGUUCUACCACUUGUCCCUGCCGCAGGUAGGGUACGGUUCAGUAAGUUGUCAACCCCUUACCAAAGCACACACCGUACAGAGAGGCCAUGGUGGAAGAUACCGGAGGCCUCCGGUAGGCAUGCCACCUGGUCCGGGGGCAUGGGUGUUUCCGGUUGGGACUGAGAGGGGGGCACCCCUUAGAGCGCGCGUAUAUAAAUUUGAUCCCAUGCUACGUCGAGGUUGUAGCCUCCCCACUUAGAGUUUGGCUCGACAGGUGUUGUGGGUGAUUCCAGACACCGGUAAGUUAAGCUGGUGUGUGCAGGUCAGGCGUGUUUUCAAUUAAAAGGCCGUAGGCGGAAUUAGUCCCGAUGGACUAAAUAAAUCCGUUACUCGUGAGAAAAGAGUACACCCUCUGCAGAGGUCAUAUCUAUUUGGAUAGCCAUGUUCAUGAGUAAGGGCUUCAGUCUGAGAUGGGUCUAGUGACGGUUUUCGGAUGGAGAAACGGAUAAACUGGAUCAUAGUAACGGUAUUCGGAUGGAGAAACGGCUAAACUAGAAUCUAGCGACGGUCUUCGGAUGGAGAAACGGCUAGACUAGAUAUUGUUUAUGUCCUGUGACAUAUGAGGAUUAUGUUUAUUAUUAUUAUGGACUAACCAUUUACAUUAUUUGAAUUAUUGAGUAUCCCUGGGACGGUUCUACCUCCUGGAUAUUCACUGUGAUUAUUCUUAUAUAAGCCCUUUAUGUGGCGUCGCUCAGACGCCCGACUGCGGCAUGCCUGUUAUUUAUUUAUCCUUUAUAAGCCCUUUAUGUGGCGUCGCUCAGACGCCCGACUGCGGCAUGUCUGUUAUUUAUUCAUCCUUUAUAAGCCCUUUAUGUGGCGUCGCUCAGACGCCCGACUGCGGCAUGUCUGUUAUUUAUUCAUCCUUUAUAAGCCCUUUAUGUGGUGUCUCUCAGACGCCCGACUGCGGCAUGUUUGUUAUUUAUUUAUUCUUUAUAAGCCCUUUAUGUGGCGUCGCUCAGACGCCCGACUGCGGCAUUGUUAAUUUAUUUGCACCCUUUCGAGGAGUCAUUUCAGACACUCGAUCAGCGCAUUCUAUUUCUACUCUCGUAUUGCAUGCUCCUAUUUUACCUACAUGCGUGCAUCACAGAGUUUCGUUUACUUCAUGGUAGACGUUAUCAUCAUAAAAUAUUUCAAAGUAUGAUUACCCCUUGUUAUAUUAUACCCGUGUUCUUAAUGUUUGCGAGUACAUUCAAACGUACUCACUGGCUUGUCCCUGGCUAUUGUCUUGGCCAGAUUCCUUGCUUGGAGAUAAGCAUUGCGAUGACAGCCCCGGAACCUACGCAAUGACGAUAGCAGCCUCGCGAAGAUAGGAGUUAUCCUGGUCAGCUGUUCUUGUGGGAAAUGGAGUCCCAUAGACGCAGAUGUACCACAAACCGUUUCCGCCAUCAACCACUAGAAACCAAGUGUUGUACCCCUAGGCCACAAUGGUCUUGUACCACAUAUUUUGUACUUUGCCUGGAAUUCUUGUAUCAAGUUGGUGCCUCAUCAGCUAACAGUAAUCCUGGGGCUGGUGAGCACAAAGGCCGCUUUCUAGGAAAUUAAUAUCCCGAAAAUCCGGUUGUGACAAAAUCCUACCGGCGGAUCGUUGAAGACUUUUCUCAAGUUUGCGCUAUAUCUAUCUUAAUCCUUUAUACGAGAAUAAGUAGUAUGCCAAAUCCGUUGCUUGUCAUCAAUCUAAAUUGGUGAACGUUAAGCAUAAUGCAAUUCUUAUUCUUGUUUCAUCCAAGUGAUUAAUUCCUUAUUCCGGAGAUUCAUCAAAAUUCUUGAUCUCAUUUGUUCAUUUUUCUUUCCGGAGCUCCAAGUUAUUUCAAUUAUAUCAUUUCAAAGCUUCAUCUAAUCAUUGCAAGGCUUCUCCCGGAGUUCUUUUCAAUUUUCCCUUUCGUUUGAUCAUUCUUUUAUUAUCGGAGUUCUUCAUGGAGGAUCAACAUGGUGGUUCAUCAAGGGUUCCUUUCAUUCUUCAAGUGUUCUUCAAGAAUUCUCUCGAAGCUAAGAUCCGCCAAGCUAUACUCUAAAAUAAACAUGGUGUUCAACACAUGUUUUGUUUAGUGGAGUCCAAGCAUUCUUCAUCUUGCAUUCUGAAGUACAAUUCGUUCUACCUUAUCAUUUGAGGUGGUGUUAUGUCAUUCUUGACAAUUUGAGGUCGUGUUUCAUGAUUCACAUGUUGUCAAGAAUGAGAUAUUUUAAAUCCACCAAUCUCUUCAUUGGAGUUAUCUUGUGUCAUGUUUCACCUAAAGCCUUCCCUAAGGAAUGUUGCUAUUGUGGUGCUUAUCAAUGACCCAAGCUUGCUCUUUAUCCUCUUGGUGGAAAAAAAUUUCAUCUCUUCAUUGAUCUCAAGUAAGCAAUUGUUUUCGUUAGUGGCGGGUUGUCACCUCAUAAUUUUGAGAUGUGUUCCAUAAGCCCACAACAAGCUUAUUCUUCUCGUUGCUAGUUUCCCAAGAACUCCGUUCAAUCCUUCCUUGCAAGGAUGCUCUUGAAAUUCAAUUGUGGUGGAAGUUGUCAUUUAUCUUCUCUGUCCCUUUAUCCCAACAAUCUAGCUACUAUUCUUUCGUUCCGGAGACAUUGUGAUGUUGCUCUCUUCACCCAUCAUCUCGUUUGGCCAAGAUCAUAUUCUUUUCAUGCUUACCAAUUUAACCAGAGUGUUGUGCUCUCAUUCAAGUUCUUUUAUCUUAUCAAGUCUUGCAUCUCUUCAACCGGAGUGCUGCCCGAAUUUGUUCUUCCUUGUUCCUUGUUUAUCUCGUUUCAACCAGAGUGCUUUCAAUUCCUUCUUGUCCAUUGUGCUCAUCAUUCAUAGCUUUGCAACCUCCAAGGUUCACAUGGUGUUCCUUGUUUCUCUUUUCUGCCGGAGUUUUCUCAAUUUUGUUCAACUCUGUCGUAUUCUUCUUUCCAUUUGUUCAACCUCUCAAGGUUCGUGGUUUCACUCGUUUGUCAAAGAAGCAACAAAGCUUUACCUCUUCUCUUCCUCUUCCGUUUCUCUCCGGUGCCGUCCUAGAUCUCAGGACGAGAUCCUCUCGUAGUGGUGGAGUGUUGUAACGCCCCAAGACCGACGCUCCAGACGCCUUCCAUAUUUUUUCGUUAUCGUUGUGUGUUUUAUUUGUUUGUUGCAUUCAUCAUCGCAUUGCAUCCGCAUGUUUUCAUAAACUUGCAUCCGCUCAUAGUUGCCGCGUCCCCCCUUGCUUUCGUUGACCGUUUCGAGACCAACCUCACUUGCAACGUUGCUCCUCGUUUUCUCUCUUGUCUUCUCCGGGGCCUUUUGUCAGACACUUUGUCUUUGUCGACCCCUCUCAGACCACCCCUCGCGCGCGUCCGAAAUUUGUCCCGAACCCGACCCGGGUUGUUGUUACCGUUGGGUCCGGAUCAUCCCCAAACAUCUAUAAAACAUUUCCGUUUUCUUAUUUGGGCUUCCCUAGCCUAUUUUUCUCGACCGCCCGAUCUAAAUCAGAGGGUCCAAUUAGACCUCUACCCAAAAAUCCACUUGCUAUAUAAACCGACCUAACCUAAAAUCUCGGACGGCUGUCCCAUCAAUCCCCUCACUCGCCGCCGCCGCGCAUCCCAAAUCCUCCUCGGGAUCCAUCCCCAACCUACCAGCCUCCUCCUUCCCGAUCCAUCCAACCACCACAGCCACGCAGACCUCCCCGUUCCCCUCGUCGCGAGCCAGGGAGAGGAGCUCCCUGCCGCCUCCCACCUCGUGCCGUCCCCGUCGUCCACCGGUAGCAGCAGUAGCUCCGGCCGCAGCCCCGAGCCUCCCGUGCGCCUCCACCUCCCUGCCGGAGCAGCACCACCAGGCCAGCCCCGCGCCCCUGCUCUUCCUUCUUCUUCCCCUAUCCCGCUCUUCUCUCAGUGCUCUCUCUCUGUCCCGUGUAGGAGGACAGCCAUGGGAGCACCCCGAGGAGCAAAACCGCAGCAGUAGACCGUGGCACCACCACCGGAGCUCGCCGCUGCCGGGAAUCACCUUCUUUCGCCGGAGAUCGCGUCCUUGUCCUGGAUCCGGUAAGUUCUGCCGUCCCACAGCGCGCCCUUCUCCUUCCUUCGGUCUCCUCCUCCACUCACAUCUCAUCCCCUCUCUCAGUUCUCUUUGUAGCGCUGCAGCCUUCUGCCUGUGCGUCGUGCGCGAGAACCGACAAGGCUCCAGCGCCAUGGACUUCCCCCACCUCUGCCCGAGCGCCUCCAGGACCUCGUCUGCCCCCGCCGCGUCGCCGAAUCCGGCCACCAGCACCCUCCAGCGCCGCCGUUUCCUUCCUCCUACUGCUCGAUCCCUGCUUCAGGAACGAGACGACGAGCGCCCAGCAAUCGCGUUGACCGCAUCGGUCAGAUCCGGUGGGCCCACGCUGCUUCCCCGUUGGCCCAGUGCGCCUCCUCUCCAAGGCCCAGUCGUGGCCUCCUCUCUGGCCCAGCUUCAAUUUCGGCCUGCUAGGCCCGAUGUGAGUAGCUCCCCCAGCCCUUCAGUUUCGGCCCGCAUCUAUUUUUUUUCGUGCGCUGCGAUUUUAGUAUUAUUCGAGAGAAAACCUGUUUUACCUAUUAGUCCCUAGACUUCAUGCAUUUAAUAACUCCACAACCGUGCAUCGGAUUAAAAUGUUUAAAAUAUGUAAAAUGAUUAGAAUUGCAUCUAGUUUCACAAUAUGCUGCUUCCAUCCAUGUUUAAAAUGUUUAAACUUGUUGUUUAUUUAAUUUUGCAUAAAUAGCAUGUUAAAAUGAAUUAUUUCAUAUCUUAAUAGCCAUAGCUCCGAAUUUAAUAAACUUUAUAUGUAAAUGGGGUAGAAAAAUGCCUAUUUUAACAUGGUGUACUUUAUUUUGCUGUUUAACAACAUUAAAAUUGUGUUUAGGGCAGAACAGUAGUAAAUUCAAAAUAUGCAUGUGGGGAUUUUCCGGAAUUGUUGUUUAUUGUUUCCGGCCUCAUUUAACUUGCUUAAAUAGUUAGUUUACUUAUGCUUCACCCCUUGCCAUGCUUAAUAACAUUUAAUAUUGUUGUGUAUCUUAACGAGAGAGAACUAAAUAAUUGAUGUGGUGUUUUGUCAAUAUGCAACUCGUUGCAUAUUGAGCUCCACUUAAUUUGUAGUAUUGUUUGUGCACUUUGCCAUGCCAUGCCUCAUUAAACCGGACAUGCAUCAUACUUGAUUGUGCAUCAUGCCAUGUUUAUGUGAUGGUUGUUUACUAUGUUGUUUGCUUCUUUCCGGUUUGCUUCUCUCGUUUGCUUCGGUUUCGUUCCGGAGUUGUGAGGAUUCGUUCGACUACGUCCGUUUGUCUUCUUCAUGGACUCGUUCUUCUUCCUAGCGGGAUCUUAGGCAAGAUGACCAUACCCUCGAAAUCACUUCUAUCUUUGCUUGCUAGUUGUCCGUUCUAUUGCUAUGCCGCGUUACCUACCACUUGCUUAUCAAGCCUCCCAAAUUGCCAUGAACCUCUAACCUUUGUCAUCCUUCCUAGCAAACCGUUGUUUGGCUAUGUUACCGCUUUUGCUCAGCCCCUCUUAUAGCGUUGCUAGUUGCAGGUGAAGAUGAAGUUUGUUCCAUGUUGGAACAUGGAUAUGUUGGGAUAUCACAAUAUCUCUAAUUUAAUUAAUGCAUCUAUAUACUUGGUAAAGGGUGGAAGGCUCGGCCUUAUGCCUGGUGUUUUGUUCCACUCUUGCCACCCUAGUUUCUGUCAUACCGGUGUUAUGUUCCUUGAUUUUGCGUCCCUUACGCGGUUGGGUGAUUUAUGGGACCCCCUUGACAGUUCGCUUUGAAUAAAACUCCUCCAGCAAGGCCCAACCUUGGUUUUACCAUUUGCCUAUCACCUAUUUCUUUUCCCUAGGGAGUCGCUCUCCCGAGGGUCAUCUUUAUUUAACACCCCCCCGGGCCAGUGCUUCUCUAAGUGUUGGUCUGAACCGAGCAACCUGCGGGGCCACCUCGGGGAAACUUGAGGGCUAGUUUUACUCGUAGCUUGACUUAUCCGGUGUUACCCUGAGAACGAGAUAUGUGCAGCUCCUAUCGGGAUGUCGGCGCACCGGGCGGCUUUGCUGGUCUUGUUUUACCAUUGUCGAAAUGUCUUGUAACCGGGAUUCCGAGACUGAUCGGGUCUUCCCGGGAGAAGGAAUAUCCUUCGUUGACCAUGAGAGCUUAUAAUGGGCUAAGUUGGGACACCCCUGCAGGGUAUAAACUUUCGAGAGCCGUGCCCGCGGUUAUGUGGUAGAUGGGAAUUUGUUAAUGUCCGGUUGUAGAGAACUUGACACUUGACUUAAUUAAAACGCAUCAACCGCGUGUGUAGCCGUGAUGGUCUCUUUUCGGCGGAGUUCGGGAAGAGAACACGACUUUUGGGUUAUGUUUGACGUAAGUAGGAGUUCAGGAUCACUUCUUGAUCAUUACUAGUUGACGACCGUUCCGUUGCUCCUCUUCUCGCUCUUAUUUGCGUAUGUUAGCCACCAUAUAUGCUUAGUACUUGCUGCAGCUCCACUUCAUUACCCCUUUCCUACCCAUAAGCUUAAAUAGUCUUGAUCUCGCGGGUGUGAGAUUGUCGAGUCCUCGUGACUCACAGAUACUUCCAAAACAGUUGCAGGUGCCGACGAUACCAGUACAGGUGACGCAACCGAGCUCAAGUGGGAGUUCGACGAGGACCUUGGUCGUUACUAUGUUUCGUUUCCUGAUGAUCAGUAGUGGAGCCCAGUUGGGACGAUCGGGGAUCUAGCAUUUGGGGUUGUCUUCUUUUCUUUUGGUUCCGUAGUCGGACCUAUGUGUGUACUCUGAUUGAUGUAUGAUUUAUUUAUGUAUUGUGUGAAGUGGCGAUUGUAAGCCAACUCUUUAUCCCAUUCUUGUUCAUUACAUGGGAUUGUGUGAAGAUGACCCUUCUUGCGACAAAACCACAAUGCGGUUAUGCCUCUAAGUCGUGCCUCGACACGUGGGAGAUAUAGCUGCAUCGUGGGCGUUACAAGUUGGUAAUCAGAGCCAUCCCCGACUUAGGAGCCCCCUGCUUGAUCGAAUCGUCGGCAUAAGGCUGCCACUGCUCCACCGCGCAUGUUCCUCGCUAUGGCCCCAUCCACAUUUACCUUGACAACACUAUCUUCUGGAGCAAUCCAUCGUUGGGCCUGGGCCGUGGCCGUAGCGCUCGCCCCCCCUGGGAGACCCGCUCGGGAGCAAGUUUAAGUCUGCUAGGAAAUUAUCCACAAAGUUUAUGGUCUGUUGUGGGGGUUGGAAGAUUGACUCAUACACAGCUUUUCUACGUGCGUACCAAAUAGCCCACAUCGUCACAGCCAUCUUCAUGAACUCAGGUUGAUUCAGCCUGCUUUGUAGCUCAAAUAUCCACCUUUUGGCGCUCGGUUCUUCCAACUCUGUCAUCUUCAUUACCAAGCUCUCGUCUGAAAGUGCCCACACACAUCUCGACAUUUUACAUGAGAGCAAGGCAUGACGCCAUGAGUCCUGGCAGCCACACAAAGUACAGGUGUUCUGUGUCGCCAUGUUUCUAUGAUGCAAAACGUUCGUAGUAGGCAGCGAAUGACGUGCCAAUCUCCAUAGAAAGAUCAUGAUUUUUGAAGGUAUUGACAACUAUCACAUGGUUAAUUGGGAGCACAUAUGCUCCCCCAAAGAAGUCGGGGGCCUCAGAGUUAUCAAUACCAAAAUUAUGAAUUGGUGCCUCAUGACCAAAUGGGCUUGGAAAAUCCUCACGGGCCAAGGGGGGUUAUGGCUAUCAAUAUUUUCUAGUAAGUACCUGAGGGAUAGAGGCGUCGAUUUUCGCUCAAAUGUGCAAUCAUCGCAAUUCGCCAAAGACAUGAAGAAGGCGAGUCACCUUCUGCGGCUGGGAACAAAGUUUCUCAUUCACAAUGGCAAGAUGGCAUAAUUUUGGUUAGAUGUCUGGUGCGGUGAGCAAGCGUUAUGUGAAAGGUUCUCGGCCCUUUUUGCCAUUUCCGAUAAACCAAACGCCAAGGUGGUGGAUGUUUGGGCUAACUCGAGUUGGCAACCUAGAUUUCGGCGUUCGCUCGGGCCUAUCAAGAUCUCAGAGUGGGAGGAUCUCCGCGCUAGGCUACAAGUAGUACAUGUAUCUACUGGACGGGAUGAGGUCUCGUGGAAGCUGGAAGCCUCGGGUUGCUUCUUGACGGGAUCACUUUACAAAUAAAUUUCCAAAACACAUACCACGUGUGAUUUGUGUUGAAAAUAUGCCCUAGAGGCAAUAAUAAAUUGGUUAUUAUUAUAUUUCCUUGUUCAUGAUAAUCGUUUAUUAUCCAUGCUAGAAUUGUAUUGAUAGGAAACUCAGAUACAUGUGUGGAUAGAUAGACAACACCAUGUCCCUAGUAAGCCUCUAGUUGACUAGCUCGUUGAUCAAUAGAUGGUUACGGUUUCCUGACCAUGGACAUUGGAUGUCGUUGAUAACAGGAUCACAUCAUUGGGAGAAUGAUGUGAUGGACAAGACCCAAUCCUAAGCCUAGCACAAGAUCGUGUAGUUCGUUUGCUAAGAGCUUUUCUAAUGUCAAGUAUCAUUUCCUUAGACCAUGAGGUUGUGCAACUCCCGGAUACCGUAGGAAUGCUUUGGGUGUACCAAACGUCACAACGUAACUGGGUGGCUAUAAAGGUGCACUACAGGUAUCUCCGAAAGUGUCUGUUGGGUUGGCACGAAUCGAGACUGGGAUUUGUCACUCCGUGUAUACGGAGAGGUAUCUCUGGGCCCACUCGGUAGGACAUCAUCAUAAUGUGCACAAUGUGACCAAGGAGUUGAUCACGGGAUGAUGUGUUAGGGAACGAGUAAAGAGACUUGCCGGUAACGAGAUUGAACAAGGUAUGGGGAUACCGACGAUCGAAUCUCGGGCAAGUAACAUACCGUUUGACAAAGGGAAUUGCAUACGGAUUGAUUGAAUCCUCGACAUCGUGGUUCAUCCGAUGAGAUCAUCGAGGAGCAUGUGGGAGCCAACAUGGGUAUCCAGAUCCCGCUGUUGGUUAUCGACCAGAGAGUCGUCUCGGUCAUGUCUGCGUGUCUCCCGAACCCGUAGGGUCUACACACUUAAGGUUCGGUGACGCUAGGGUUGUAGAGAUAUUAGUAUGCGGUAACCCCAAAUUUGUUCGGAGUCCCGGAUGAGAUCCCGGACGUCACGAGGAGUUCCGGAAUGGUCCGGAGGUGAAGAAUUAUAUAUAGGAAGUCCAGUUUCGGCCACCGGGAAAGUUUCGGGGGUUAUCGGUAUUGUACCGGGACCACCGGAAGGGUCCCGGGGGUCCACCGGGUGGGGCCACCUAUCCCAGAGGGCCCCAUGGGCUGAAGUGGGAGGGGAACCAGCCCCUAGUGGGCUGGUGCACCCCCCAUGGGCCUCCCCCUGCGCCUAGGGUUGGAAACCCUGGGGGUGGGGGCGCCCCACCUGGCUUGGGGGGCAAGUUUCCCNNNNNNNNNNNNNNNNNNNNNNNNNNNNNNNNNNNNNNNNNNNNNNNNNNNNNNNNNNNNNNNNNNNNNNNNNNNNNNNNNNNNNNNNNNNNNNNNNNNNNNNNNNNNNNNNNNNNNNNNNNNNNNNNNNNNNNNNNNNNNNNNNNNNNNNNNNNNNNNNNNNNNNNNNNNNNNNNNNNNNNNNNNNNNNNNNNNNNNNNNNNNNNNNNNNNNNNNNNNNNNNNNNNNNNNNNNNNNNNNNNNNNNNNNNNNNNNNNNNNNNNNNNNNNNNNNCCAGGGCCGGCGCCCCCCAGGGGGCCUAUAUAUAGUGGGGGGGAGGGCAGCAGUACCCUAGCCCCUGGCGCCUCCCUCUCCCUCCCGUGACACCUCUCCCUCCCGUUAGUGCUUGGCGAAGCCCUGCCGGGAUCCCCGCUACUUCCACCACCACGCCGUCGUGCUGCUGGAUCUCCAUUAACCUCUCCUCCCCCCUUGCUGGAUCAAGGAGGAGGAGACGUCGUUGCUCCGUACGUGUGUUGAACGCGGAGGUGUCGUCCGUUCGGCGCUAGGAUCAUCGGUGAUUUGGAUCACGACGAGUACGACUCCAUCAACCCCGUUCUCUUGAACGUUUCCGCUCGCGAUCUACAAGGGUAUGUAGAUGCACUCCUUCCCUCUCGUUGCUAGUAAACUCCAUAGAUUGAUCUUGGUGAUGCGUAGAAAAUUUUGAAUUUCUGCUACGUUACCCAACAAUUUGAGCGGGAUUUGGAAGGCAAGGUUGCCAGCCGAAAUUAAAUAUUUCUGUGGCAAGUUGCUCGUAACCGCAUCAUUAGCGGAGACCAAGUUCAGAAGAGGCACGGUCUAGGGGACGGGAAUUGCGUGUGGUGCCGUGCGGCAUAGGAUCGCGACCAUUUAUUGUUCAAGUGUAUAGUUGCUCGCUUUAGAUGGAGCGUCUCCGUGAAAUAACCGGAGGUGCUUGGAACCCAAGUGGAUUCGUGGACCUAUAUAGGAUGGUUCAGGGCGCAUCGGGUGGGGAACACCGUCUGGCAUGGCUGGUUUUGGGGGCAUUGGCAUGGACCUUGUGGACUACACGCAAUAAAGCGCUUAUAGAGGGGAUUUUUUUUCACCAUUCAGCUGAUCUUCUAUACAAAAUGGUCUCUUUCUUGCAGCUUUUGAAGCUCAGGCAAAGUCAAAGGACAAAGGGAGCGUGGAGCAGCUCGUGCUAAAGAUGCGGGCAAAGUGCACUGAACUUCAUCGCGUCGGGUAGGAAUUUGCUUCCGUAGGGUGCCAUCCUUCCCGAUAUCUUCUGGGAGUCGGCAAUGUUAGUUGGCUUGCGAUCGGCGUUGUGUUGCUGUUAUCAACCGUUUCGGCUUGUAUCUACUCUUUUAUUUUGUUCUGUUUCCAUUUUGUUAGACUCUUGUACGACUUUGUAGGGCCUCAUCAUUAAGGCCAGGCAAGCGCCUCCUUUCAAAAAAAAAAAUUUACGAGUCAACAAAAAAAAAACGCCUUUGGUUGAAGAAGAGAAAAAUCAGUUGCAACUUUCACGCCAAUUUGAUUCAUCGUCGGGGAGAUCUCCUAGUGGACGCAUAGCAUAGGGCUUUCUCCUCUCCCCAUCGCUCGGCCGGUCCAAUGGCCACCGACUCUUCCUACCCCGUCGAGUUCUUCCACCGCGGCGGCGGCGACGGCGACGGCCAAUGGUGCAGCCUCGGCGCCGCCUACGCCGCCGUCCGGGUCCUCCGCCCGCAGGGCCACUCCCUCGUCAUGUACACCGUUCCCGACGACCGGCCCCACCAGCGGAUCCUCUUCGCGUACCCGAUCCUCCCUGGCGACGCCUUCGAGAGGCUGGACGGGUCCACGCUCUCCUGGGCGGGGCAAGGCUCCGGCGAUGAGUUUGCUCUCUGCUUCCGCGACGAGGCCGCCUGCGCAGCGAUCUGCGGCGCCAUCUCCCCGGUGACGACGGCGCUUGCAGCCCUGGACGACAUCGCUGACAGGCUCGAGGGGUUGCGAGUGGCCGCGGCGGAGGGGGGCGCCACGGCCGCCGGAGGGGACAUCGCUUGUCGGCUCGCGCAGCUUAGCUUAGCCCGCGGGCCAUGAACUGGGCUACCCGGAGAAUUGAAACCAGCCAGAUCAAGUAGGUUUUUGCCAUAGCACCGUCGUGUUAUUCAAUCAACUCUAUACUACGUAUAAAAUUCUGCAAACUUUUCUUCAGCAGUUUACAUCGCUUUGUUCCAAAACUGCAAUUGUUAAAGCAACAGAUGGAAAGAUUGCAGACUAUGAUGCCCAGUAAGGAAUUUCUUUUGAAUUUCGAAAGAUUGCAGACCAUCUCUCCAGCCUCUCAUGAGCAAUCUUUACCUGCAAAAACAAGAUGGAGCUGAAACACACAUGGGGCGUGUGACUGCCCUUAACAGACUCACGUUGCGACUAUUAGGAACCUGUCGCUCGCGUCGCUCUUCACGGGGGCGGCACGAGCGAACCCUAGCCGCCGCCGCCCCGUCCCUCGCCUUUGCAGCCCGCGGUCUAGCCGCUGCCGGAGGAGGCCGACGGGCGAAGCCCGCCACGGUGGAUGGCAGCAGCAGGGCACUCUCUCCUCGUGGGGAUGCGUUGCCCUGGACGGCACGACCGGCUCGCCGCGCGGUGGCGGAAGUCGGCGUGGUGGAUCCGGUGGUGGACCUCACGUCAGCCCGGCGAGGAGGUUCUGCGUGGCUGGCCGUGGUCGAGCACGAGGGAUUCGGGCCUUGUUACCCGGAUUGAUCUCGGAUGGUGACUGCAUCCUCAGUCGGCGCGGUCAGAGUGGCGACCUUGGCGUGCGGCGGUGGCUGGUUCCCCCGUUCAGGUGUUGGGUGGCGCGGAAGGGGCUAGUGGGUUGAGUCCUUGGCUUGCCUGAUCAGGUGUUGGGUGGCGGCUAGCGUCCCGUUCAGAUCCGUCGUGGCAUGGCCUUGGCCGGCCGGCGACUCGUGGAGGGACCGGUGAGGGGCGGAUGGAGGCCCUCUGCCGGCGUGCUGACGGCGGCUUUCGUCUUCAUGGCGAGGCUCCGUUCGGUUCCUGUCAGCUACGAGAGUGGGGUGACGUGACUUUCGGUGAAAAUUGCGCCGACUACGGUCAAGGCGAACGAUGGCGGUGUCUGUGACGUCAUUCCCUUCUCGAGGCAUCGUUGUUGCAGGUUGCGGAACCACGCCUAGGGGGAAACCCUAGAUUUGGGGCUUCCCGAAUCGGACGAUGACGACAUCUUUGAUGACGUUUUCCCUCUUGAGGGCAUCAUUUUGGAGCAGGUGGUGAUGGAAGGGCUCGGAGGUGGAGCGAUGUUACCUCCUCUGCAUCGACGAAGGCAGAUCUCGGAGGCAUGGUGCAAUGGAGUCUCGGUGUCUGAUGCGUGUUGGUAGAAUCGCGCAGAAGGAUGGCGUCAUCUCACGUCGUGGUGACGUCGACGGUAGGACGGCGGCGGCGGCCUAUGAGAGUGCGUCAGACCGGUCUGUGCCCCAGACCUGACAAUGUGGCUUGGUUGGGGCCUCCGCUUUUAGAUGUUAGGUUUUGGUGCGAGGUCUGUUUGGUAUUCGGCUCGGACUAUCGGCACCCCUUCAUCAACUGGAUAGGAGUAGCGACAGAUGUUGCCAAAAUGAUGGCUUCAGACUUACUGAUGUUUACUUUGUAAGCUUUGUGAAUAAUUAAUAAAGUAGUUGCAUGCACCACUGCACCACCGAGAUGCAGAGACCGGGGGUCUUCCUCCUUUUCUAAAAAAACACAUAGGACGUGUUCGGUAGUCUGUAUAGAGGCUAGUCAGACCCACGCGAGAAGAGAAUAGGUUGUUUGGUUCCCUGCGUUUACUGUUGGCCUGCAUCGCAUGGACCUCCAAUCACCUCCCAGCCAGGCCCACUAGGAACGCUCAAAUCGGCAUUUUUUUUCUAGAGCCAGGCCCGCGCGAUGCACGUGGGCGGCGGCGGCUGCACGCGAGGAACCUCGCUCGAGAAGCCGAGUUGCUUCCUAAAGUGCCGGUAAUAAUUUCCAUCACCUUACCUCGUCGCUCCCCUUCCCUCUCACCACUCUCCCACUCUCACCGGCGGCGGCGGUCAGCGGAUCGGACAACAGCAAGGCGACCACCGGCCUUCAUCACCGGCAUUCGAUUCGCAACAUCACCUGCAACACUUCGACAAUGGCGAUAAGCUCUUUUUUCACCAUCCUCACUAUUUCGCAUCUGAUCUACAUUUAGAUUCGAUCUGCAUUCUAGGGGAAUGGGGAAUCGGGGUAAAUAGCCAUAGUACUGACCAUAACAUCAUCAUGAGUUCCUAGUAGCGAUGGAAUUUAGGGUUCCGGUCUGGAUUGAGUAGAAGGAGAAUGGGGGUCAGGGUAAAUCUUACACAAUAGUUUCUAAUCUUAGCCCUGGCGGCCCUUGAGGCGGUUGGAGUGGUGGGUGGCCUUGUUCUUGUCCUCCGGCGGGACCACCGUCUCGUCGUCCUCGCCCGAGUCCAUAUCGAUUGUCAAAGUAAAGUGGCCUGGCUCUAGUGCUCUGACAACCAUCUCCAUCGCUUCUUCCUCCUCCUCCGGCUCCAAACCAAUGACCCCCAGUGCCACCAAAGUACUAUUCCAGUACAUUGCGACACGCUGGUCAUGAGGAGCCCUGUACUUGGCCCACCUUGUCAUGUGUCCAGUGUCGCCAGAGUCGGCCUGAUUCAUGGCCCAGCAAAGGGUGUCGACUGACAUAGCGCCCUUCGCUGGGUAAGGAAUCAGCGACUUCAACUCCUCCGUCGUCGCCUUCUUCACCACAGCAUCUGCCUCUUUGUGCAUGUCUUUGAUGCUGCUGAAGUUCGAGCACACUUCCAUGGUGUUCUAGAACUUGGUGCGGUCACCGAGCGAGCACCCGGGGAAGAAAGCCUUCCAUCCAAUGCCUCAAGGGAAGGGGUUGGGUUGGAGUUGGAGUUCAUGGUGAUGGAUAGGAGGAAGAGUGAUAGACAGAGAAGAGAGAGGGUUAACUGAGUGCGGUUGUGGGUAAGUAGUGAUGGUCAGGGUGGGUAAAUAUAGGGGCUUUGGACGGUAGCUUUUAAUGCCGAUCAACUUUUGAACUUUGUGCUCUUCAUAACGCCAUGAACUUUCUGUUGUUCAUAAUGCAGAUCAAGUCGGAAAACAAUGACAAGGGCAAGGAGGUGGUGCUGCCUAUGGAGAAGGGCAUGCAAGGAGGUGGUGCCGCCUAUGGAGAAGGGCAUGCAAGGAGGUGGUGCCACCUAUGGAGAAGGGCAUGCAAGGAGGUGGUGCCGCCUAUGGAGAAGGGCAUGCAAGGAGGUGGUGCCACCCUUGGAGGUUGUGCCAACCAUGCCUAAGGAGGUGUUAGGCACGGAGGACGACGGGGUGCCGGAGGAGACCCCAACGGCAAGUGCCGGAACUACGGGUGCACUACCAUGAUGAGGGUGGGCCAACUCACUUCUGCAAGGUCAUCCUUGCCCCGAAGCUCGAGUGCGUUCCAAUGCCCCUAGACUUCACCAAGCACUUCUUGGUCGUGCCGACGGAGUUCAACCUCAAGAUGAACGUCGCUUCUCAUGGAGGGUCACUAUGAGGCUGAUGAACGGCAAGAUCACUCUCGAUCAGGGUUGGGCCACCUUCGCCGCCGUCCAUCAGAUCAAGAUCGGGUACAUUAUGACCUUCAAGUUGCUGACUCUCGACACGCUCGAGGUCAUCAUCUUAAACGACGACGUCAUUUUAGUGGUGAUCAAGUGCGAGAGGCACGAUGAGGCCUUCGCCUGAACGUCUAGGACAACUCUCCGUUGCUUCAACUGGUUUAAUAUCGACUGUAUCGCACUGCUUUGCUUGAAAACUGCUAUGUUUUAAGUGUCAUACUAUGUUUAAAACUGCUUGUUAUGGUUUAGAACUAUGUUUAAGUGUGGUAGCAUAUUAAACUGCUUACUGCUUGCUAUCUUUUGUGUGUCUUUGAGUUGUUCUAUACGCUUAUAUGUGCGGUAACCUCAUCACCUCGCCGAAGAGGUUACCAGACAACGGGUGUUGCAUGAAACCAAACACCAUGCCUUGUGUUUCCGUCUACACAAGCGGCAGAUGUUGGUUUUUUGCGUGUUUUCCCUCAACCAGACUAUGCAUGCAGAAGUUGCUAUGAAAACCAAACACACCCACAAUGUAGCUACUCGGCAUCUUCCCCUUCUUGCAAUAGCUAGGCUAGCUCUUGGAACCCUAGAGUACUUGGUAGAAAUUGGUCGAUCCUCGAUAUGUACCCUGUGCUACACCAACCGAUUCUUCAAACUGCUACACCAACCGAUUUCCCUGUGCUCCAGCUAACUACCCAGGGUUAGUGACAACUGAUUCUUCUAGUGCUACUUUUUUUAGAACAAAGCUUUAAAUUAAUAAAGGCCAGUACUAGGCGCCGGCGGACCGGCGGUAGGUUCAGCCGGUCAGGCCCCAGCCGUUUGAUCUGGUAUAGUACAGCCGUCCAAAAAAAUUAAUCGCCCCGAUCUAGCCUUCCCUUGAUCUGUCUUCUUUCUCCCAACGAAUCCCAAAAAGAAUCCCGCGCCGCUGCCCCCGUGGCUCCACCUUAGUGUGCAGCUCGGCGAGGGGAACGGCUGCCGGCCGCCGGGCGCUUGCACCUCUAUCCCUUGUAGCCCCUCUACUGCUCGCUGGAGAAGCUUCUCGCUAGUUAAUUUUCAGUUGCAAGCUCCACCUCAGACGGUUGCAACUCCCCCCGUCAACGCUCCAUGGUUGCGACACCCAAUGCGUCGCCGCCGCCACUCGUCGUCGAUCCUCGCUGCGACCGACGACCACCAGUAAACGACAUUGAGUGGAUGUAGCAAAAUACAUCGCCGGUAGUAGCAAAAAACAUCAACGGUGGCAACACACAAAAACUUGGUCGCCGGCGUCACAGCUCCGCAACCAUGGAUGUAGCAAAAUCAGACGACAGUUGCAGCAAAAAGAAAUUUGGUCGCUGGCGUCGCAGCUCCGCCACCAUGGAUGUAGCAAAAUCAGACGACAGUUGCAGGAAAAAGAAAUUUGGUCGCCGGCGUCGCAGCUCCGCCACCAUGGAUGUAGCAAAUUACCUUGCCGAUAGUAGCAAAAUCAGACGACGGUUGCAGCAAAAAUGUCACCGUCGUGGCGGGGGCGCAGGUCCGCCAUGAUGAAUGUAGCAAAAUCGUUUGCCGGUUGCAGCUUUUUGCGCCGCUGUUUCCAGCUUUUUGCAUCGCUGGUUCCAACAUUGGCAGCGACGGCGCGGUUGCAGCUCGCCGACCGCCGAUUGUAGUACCGCCGACCGUCGAUUGGCCAUUGUGCAGGUUGCAGCUUGCCGACCACCGGAUGUAGCACCGCCUGAUGCCGAUUGUAGCGCCGCAGCCGUGGGGAGGCAAGAGCUGCGCGAGCACCGCAUCAGCAAAGUCGCUCCUCGGGAAAGAUUGCCAUGCUUGACCAUGGCUUGGAGUCUGGAGUAAGGGGAUUUGGGAGGAAAGAGAUGGGCGAAAAACGAGCGGAUGCUGUUGUGUCGGGGAAGAUAAGACGAAGAAGAAAGCGGUGCGUGUGGGGCCAGAGUGACGUGUUGCGUGCUCGAUGGCACAAAGCCCGUUAGCGAGCGAGGCGUCCGGCCCAGUUUCGGCCGGUUCGCCGAUUACAAACGUUUACCAUUAAUAAAGCCCACUAGGAGGGAUCCUAGUGCUACUGUCACCAAUCUCUCUCAACUCCCGUCUUAUAUGUGACAAAAUUGUACUUUUAAUUUAAUUUACUUCUUCUGAUUGUAAGAUCAUCUCAUUCCUGACGCUCAGCAAAGCAACAAUCCAAAGAACUAGAAGCAAGCAUAGCACCCCUGCUUUAUGUUUGAUUCAACCAAACAAAAAUCCGUUCUGAGAUGCAGCAAUAGAGCUAAACUAACAGAAACAGUAAACUCAAGAAAAUCGACAUACAAAUAUCCAAGCAUAAUAAUCUUCCUUAUGUGGACUGAAGAAUCCAGACCACGACAGCAAAAACUGAUAAGAAAUAUCACCAGGUUACCAAAGUACCGAGCAAAAACAACAUCCUUACUGCAAUACAUGUCCUUGACGGGUAAUCUAGAGCUAGCAAACAUAGAUAAACAGCAACGAUAACUCUAAGUGGCCUUGUCGGCCUUGGCAGCAGAGGCGGCGGCCUGGCCUCUGAGACGACCAGUCCUCCUGGCAGCGAUGAGACCAACCUUCUGGCCAGGUGGUGCAUCACGGCGGACAGUGGAGGCGUG